rnacentral:misc_RNA from 1 species
GGAGGGAUCAUUAACACUCAUGUGCGCAGCGGUCGGAACCGGUCGCGCUCUCGGGCAACUGAGGGUGCAACUGGGGAAGGUGGCUACGUUCAUUUGAAAUACACUGUUGAACUCGGAUGCUUCGGCAACCAAUCCAAGGGCGAGCCCUGAGACUGUUCGGAUCCGAUAGGUACAGGAUCUUCCGUAGUGAGUACGCUCACUGCCCAGAUUAUCUGUCUGAACCCAGAGUAAGGAGACGUGCAAAGUGAUCGUUCUGGCUUUUUGGCUGUUCGGUCUUGUCUCCCGAAACGGAGAGAGUCGAGGUAUACUUGCUUUGAAGGACAUGCGCCCGUACACAUGUUGGCACCCCUGAUAAGAACUCUUCAGAAGCCGAUGGUUCAUUCGUGAGCUUGACCCUUCUGUGCUCUGUCAGCAAGAUCAUUCAGUUAGUUCUCGUUCAGUGCUCGCUUCACGGCAGCCCUGAGCUCCUGAUUGGGUGGGCGGUGCGAUUGACGAAACCCUUCCAGCGCUGUGGCGAGACUUCGGUCUCACUUUCCGCUGAGGUAAUACUUGACAGGAGCAUUGGUGUCGCCGCCUUUUCUCUUGACUCAAGCUAUUUUUUUACGACUGACAAUUGACUGAAACAAGACAGCAGCCGAAAGGAUGCUUGUCACAAGAUUUUCUAAAUCUAAGCACAACUCUUAGCAACGGAUAUCUUGGUUCUCGCAACGAUGAAGAACGCAGCGAAAUGCGAUAUGUAAUGCGAAUUGCAGAAUUCAGUGAAUCAUCAAAUCUUUGAACGCAAAUGGCGCUCUUGGGAUAGACCUAAGAGCACGCCUCUCUCAGUAUCGGUGAAACUACUCUCUCAAUUCUUGCUGACACUUCGGUCUCGGCAACGAAGCGAGGAAAAUGAGUGUCUUCUCAGUGGGACCUUCGGGUCACGAAUUGAAGUCACUUUAAGUUCACUUGUAACGAGUCGUUCGAAUCUCUCUCGUACCGUUCAAUGCUGCUGUGCGGAUCACUUCGGUGAGCUCACACUGGUGUUGUUCUAGCUAUCAUGAAUGGUAGUGGUGUCGGGUGACGUGGAUAAACUCUUGCCCAACUCUUCGGAGGAAGGUGAAAGCUGAAACGUUGCAUUCAACUGACGCUUCAACUCUAACUUGACAGUGAAAGACUGGACUGAUUCUUACGCAACGGAAACGGAGCACUUCACUUCGGUGUGUGUGUUCACCAACGUUUCUCUCUCAUUCGAUCUGAGCUGAAGCGAGACUACCCCCUGAAUUUAAGCAUAUUAUUAAGGGGAGGAAAAGAAACUAACAAGGAUUCCCUUAGUAACGGCGAGUGAAGCGGGAAUAGCUCAAUUUGAAAAUCCAAGAUCUACACAGGUCUUUGGAAUUGUAUCCUAUUCGACGUGCUAUCAGCGUGUGACUCGAGUACAAGUCCUUUGGAAGAAGGCAUCAUAGAGGGUGAGAAUCCCGUCUCUGACUCGAGCAAUCCAUCUUUCACCGCGUACGAUGCAUGUUCAACGAGUCGAGUUGUUUGGGAUUGCAGCUCUAAAUGGGUGGUAAGUUUCAUCUAAAGCUAAAUAUUGGCGAGAGACCGAUAGCGAACAAGUACCGUGAGGGAAAGAUGAAAAGAACUUUGAAAAGAGAGUUAAAAAGUACUUGAAAUUGCUAAGAGGGAAGCGCUAGAAACCAGUGUAUGGUACUCUCAACAUUUUGCCCUUUCAGAAGGCUGCCGUCAGGGAAUUAGUUGGCAACUCUAGUUUCUUGCUGUGUGGUUGUAUGGGAGGGUCCUGUGUUGAGGGGACGUCAGAAUGAGUUGGGAGGGCAGGAGACACUGUUGGGAAAGGUAGGUUAUGUGCAAACGUAACUGUUAUAGUCCUAGCAGGAUACUGUGCUCUCGACUGAGGAACUUCAUGGUGCGCCACUAGGCAUUGCACUCUGCUUCUAACGUGUGACUCGUGCUUCAUGACAAUGUCAUGGUGUGUGAGUUUGCGUGUUACUAGGUGGACGUGUGAGUUGCAUCGUAUGUUGAUUCUGACUAAAUGGUUUCUAUCGACCCGUCUUGAAACACGGACCAAGGAGUCUAACAUAUAUGCAAGUGUUUGGGUGCAAAACUCACAACGCGCAAUGAAAGUAAAGGUAGCUUGCUACUGUGGUUGGAAUCCUUGUGUGAACACACGGGGAGGCACAAUCGACCGAUCCUCACUUGUGAGCCGAUUUGAGUCAGAGCAUAUCUGUUGGGACCCGAAAGAUGGUGAUCUAUGCCUGAACAGGGUGAAGCCAGGAGAAAUUCUGGUGGAAGCUCGUAGCGAUACUGACGUGCAAAUCGUUCGUCUGAUUUGGGUAUAGGGGCGAAAGACUAAUCGAACUAUCUAGUAGCUGGUUCCCUC